rnacentral:rRNA from 1 species
UGAGGAAUAUUGGUCAAUGGGCGAGAGCCUGAACCAGCCAAGUAGCGUGCAGGAUGACGGCCCUAUGGGUUGUAAACUGCUUUUAUAUGGGAAUAAAGUGAGGGACGUGUCCCUUAUUGCAUGUACCAUACGAAUAAGGACCGGCUAAUUCCGUGCCAGCAGCCGCGGUAAUACGGAAGGUCCGGGCGUUAUCCGGAUUUAUUGGGUUUAAAGGGAGCGUAGGCUGUUUGUUAAGCGUGUUGUGAAAUGUAGGAGCUCAACUUUUAGAUUGCAGCGCGAACUGGCAGACUUGAGUGCGCACAACGUAGGCGGAAUUCAUGGUGUAGCGGUGAAAUGCUUAGAUAUCAUGACGAACUCCGAUUGCGAAGGCAGCUUACGGGAGCGCAACUGACGCUAAAGCUCGAAGGUGCGGGUAUCGAACAGG